rnacentral:rRNA from 1 species
CCCGCUGAACUUAAGCAUAUCAGUAAGCGGAGGAAAAGAAACUAACCAGGAUUCCCCUAGUAACGGCGAGUGAAGCGGGAAAAGCUCAAAUUUAGAAUCUGGGAGCUUUAAGUGGCUCUCCGAAUUGUAGUUUGAAGUGGCGUGCUCUGUAGCAGGGGUCCGCGCGGGUCCAAGUUGCCUUGGAACAGGCCGUCAGAGAGGGUGACAACCCCGUAUCAUGGCCCGCUCCGCCUCUAACCUGCUGCAAAUAUGACGCGCUCACAAAGAGUCGGGUUGCUUGGGAAUGCAGCCCAAAAUGGGUGGUAAACCUCAUCUAAGGCUAAAUAACGGCGAGAGACCGAUAGCGAACAAGUACCGUGAGGGAAAGAUGAAAAGAACUUUGAAAAGAGAGUUAAACAGUACGUGAAAUUGUUAAAAGGGAAACGCUUGAAAGCCAGUGAUUAUGCCGCCAGGUAAUCAGCCAGUGGUUUGCUCCGCUGGUGCAUUUAUCUGGUUGUCGCAAUGCCAACAUCAGCCUCUUUUUCCGACUGGAAACGGGGGCCCGGGAAGGUAGGUCUUAUGGGGACUCGUGCUCUGUUCGACUGUUUAUAGCCCGGGCCUCACAAACACAGGCCGGGGAGGCUGAGGAACCUCUUCUCUUUUUUCGUGGCCUUUGCCCUUGGUUGGUCGGACUCGGUUAUGCUGACGGACUCCCUCGGGGGUCCGGCUGAUGGCUGGGUCAGUGUGCUGGCUACUGGGUGGGGGAUGCUAGAAUUUCUGGAGUUAAGCAGAUGUUGGCGCAAAAUGGUUUCAAUCGACCCGUCUUGAAACACGG